rnacentral:lncRNA from 1 species
GCCAACAGGACUGUUUUCAUUUGCUCCCCACAAUGGGAGAUCUCUGCUGCUCUUCCUGAGAUCCUGACAGAAGCGUGUUUGUCUUUAAUGUCAUGAGGAUAUGGGCAUCACAAGAUGCGGAUGGUUGCAAGAACUGUGGCAAGGUUAACGUAAGGUAGAUCCUCAAUAGAGA